GACGCGUGAUCGAACGGGAGCUUGCUCCCUGAAUAUAAGCGGCGGACCGGUGAGUACACGUGGGCAACCUGCCCUGCAGAUGGGGAUAACUCCGUGGACAACGGGGCUAAUACCGAAUAAUCGGUUCUUCCGCAUGGAAGAACUCUGAAAGACGGUUUCGGCUGUCACUGCAGGAUGGGCCCGCGGCGCAUAAGCUAGUUGGUGGGGUAACGGCCUACCAAGGCGACGAUGCGUAUCCGAUCUGAUGGGGUGAUCGGCCAUUCUGGGCAUGAGACACUGCCCAUACUCCUACGGGAGGCAGCAGUAGGGAAUCUUCCUCAAUGGACGAAUGUCUGAUGGAGCAUCUCCGCGUGAGCGAUGAGGGUUUUCGGAUCGUAAAGCUCUGUUGCGAUGGAAGAACAAGUACGGGAGUAACUGCCCGUACCUUGACGGUACCUCGUCAGAAAGCCACGGCUAACUACGUGCCAGCAGCCGCGGUAAU
rnacentral:rRNA from 1 species